rnacentral:rRNA from 1 species
UGGUGGAGUGAUUUGUCUGGUUAAUUCCGUUAACGAACGAGACUCUGGCCUAUUAAAUAGUUCGCCGAUUCCGAUCUGUCGGCGUUAACUUCUUAGAGGGACAAGUGGCUUUUAGCCACGCGAGAUUGAGCAAUAACA